rnacentral:rRNA from 1 species
AACGAACGCUGGCGGCAUGCCUAACACAUGCAAGUCGAACGAAACCUUCGGGUCUAGUGGCGCACGGGUGCGUAACGCGUGGGAACCUGCCCUUAGGUUCGGAAUAACUCCCCGAAAGGGGUGCUAAUACCGGAUAAUGUCUUCGGACCAAAGAUUUAUCGCCUUUGGAUGGGCCCGCGUUGGAUUAGCUAGUUGGUAGGGUAAAAGCCUACCAAGGCGACGAUCCAUAGCUGGUCUGAGAGAAUGAUCAGCCACACUGGGACUGAGACACGGCCCAGACUCCUACGGGAGGCAGCAGUGGGGAAUAUUGGACAAUGGGCGAAAGCCUGAUCCAGCAAUGCCGCGUGAGUGAUGAAGGCCUUAGGGUUGUAAAGCUCUUUUACCCGGGAUGAUAAUGACAGUACCGGGAGAAUAAGCUCCGGCUAACUCCGUG